GCCCUUUUAGUGUUGUACUACUGUCCUGUUUGUUAACGAGCAGUGCAAUAUUAAAAUGGGCAU
rnacentral:pre_miRNA from 1 species